ensembl:lncRNA
CUUCUUCUCUCUUGUCUACAUCUGUUCCUCCAUAAAACCCAAUAACAACUUGAGAGUUACAUUGCAGGCAGAUUUCUCCGAAUAAAUAUGCUGAUCACUUUGUUUCAGCUUCAGCUCUAUAAUUCAUGAAAAUGGUAAUUUUUCAUGCAAUAUGUGCAGGUGCAAUCCGACACCGGUGAAACUGACUCACUUACUUCCCCUGAAAUGAUUUGCUGAAGAGGAUCACUUCGUCCAGUGAAAGUACAAUGGGAAGCCACAAAACAUUCCAAAGAGACGUGCUCAUUGAACCAUUAUUUGAAUGUAAUGCGAAACUAACACCUUCAACAUUAAAUAUAGGUAUUCAUUUCCUACCAAAGCCAUUAAGUUUGUGAGCUGGAAAGAAAACCACAAACAUGGUGUCCGACCUGCCAUGAAGAGCAGCUGAAAAUCAGAGGUGGCAAAGGGCACCAUGUCAGCACGGAGAGGAAGGAGGAGGAGGAGGAGGAGGAGGAGGAGGAGGAGCAGCAGGUGAACGCCAGAGCUGAUGUUUAUGGACAUAUUUGGAUCCAUGGAUCCGAUGACUCCGCUGCUUCCCCCCGAUAAAUGUCAGAGGAUCUGACUGAGAUGACAUUUCCACGUAGGAAAAAGUGACGCUCCGUCUGCGUCACGGCGCCGUGAUGCUGAUUAAACGACAAGCAGAGGAAAAAACAAGAGGACGGAGGGGAGAUGAGGUGUCAAGAAACAAAAGUCCAGUGAAAAAAGGGUGGGACACGGCACACGUUUGCUCAUAAGGAAAUAAAGACGCGUAUUUCCAGCUCAGCGUGAUUGUUAAACCUCAACGGAGCGCAUCAGACUUUGCUUUGCUCCACUAAUAAAAGUUUUCUCAGUUAUAAAUGAAAAUACAACACAAAAUAAUUGACUUAGUUAUGUAAAGCAAGUGUCGCCAGGCUUUUUGAAAAAUCUAUUUUAUCAACGGCGGAAAUUCAUAUUCCGCUUCAGCGUGUUUUUUUAACAAAACCCGAUGUGUCAC